rnacentral:rRNA from 1 species
CCUACGGGAGGCAGCAGUGAGGAAUAUUGGUCAAUGGACGAGAGUCUGAACCAGCCAAGCAGCGUGAAGGAUGAAGGCGCUAUGGGUUGUAAACUUCUUUUAUAUGGGAAUAAAAUGUUCCACGUGUGGGAUUUUGUAUGUACCAUAUGAAUAAGGAUCGGCUAACUCCGUGCCAGCAGCCGCGGUAAUACGGAGGAUCCGAGCGUUAUCCGGAUUUAUUGGGUUUAAAGGGUGCGUAGGUGGAUUGUUAAGUCAGUUGUGAAAGGUUGCGGCUCAACCGUAAAAUUGCAGUUGAAACUGGUAGUCUUGAGUACAGGAGAGGUGGGCGGAAUGCGUGGUGUAGCGGUGAAAUGCUUAGAUAUCACGAAGAACUCCGAUUGCGAAGGCAGUUCACUGGACUGCAACUGACACUGAGGCUCGAAAGUGUGGGUAUCAAACAGGAUUAGAUACCCCAGUAGUC